GCAGUCGAACGAUGAACCACUUCGGUGGGGAUUAGUGGCGAACGGGUGAGUAACACGUGGGCAAUCUGCCCUGCACUCUGGGACAAGCCCUGGAAACGGGGUCUAAUACCGGAUACUGAUCAUCUUGGGCAUCCAAGGUGUUCGAAAGCUCCGGCGGUGCAGGAUGAGCCCGCGGCCUAUCAGCUUGUUGGUGAGGUAAUGGCUCACCAAGGCGACGACGGGUAGCCGGCCUGAGAGGGCGACCGGCCACACUGGGACUGAGACACGGCCCAGACUCCUACGGGAGGCAGCAGUGGGGAAUAUUGCACAAUGGGCGAAAGCCUGAUGCAGCGACGCCGCGUGAGGGAUGACGGCCUUCGGGUUGUAAACCUCUUUCAGCAGGGAAGAAGCGAAAGUGACGGUACCUGCAGAAGAAGCGCCGGCUAACUACGUGCCAGCAGCCGCGGUAAUACGUAGGGCGCGAGCGUUGUCCGGAAUUAUUGGGCGUAAAGAGCUCGUAGGCGGCUUGUCACGUCGGUUGUGAAAGCCCGGGGCUUAACCCCGGGUCUGCAGUCGAUACGGGCAGGCUAGAGUUCGGUAGGGGAGAUCGGAAUUCCUGGUGUAGCGGUGAAAUGCGCAGAUAUCAGGAGGAACACCGGUGGCGAAGGCGGAUCUCUGGGCCGAUACUGACGCUGAGGAGCGAAAGCGUGGGGAGCGAACAGGAUUAGAUACCCUGGUAGUCCACGCCGUAA
rnacentral:rRNA from 1 species